rnacentral:RNase_P_RNA from 1 species
ACUACAGGCCGCUCUGCCGCCUUUUUUUCUGCGAAAAUCAGAAAUAGGGAGGAAAGUCCGGACAACAUAGCGCACCGCACCACCUAACGGGUGGAGUUGCCAAAGCAAUUUGGCGGCAUAGACAGGGUCACAGAAAAUUACCGCUGCCUCCAACUUCCCUCCCCGCAAGGGAGGGCCAAGUGGAGGUUGUAAGGGUGAAAACGUGCGGUAAGAGCGCACGAUCCCGGCUGGUAACAGUCGGGGGGGAUAAACCUUGCGGGUUGAAAUGCCAUGUACACCUUGUGCCGACCCCGAAGAAAUCGGGGCCGGUGUGUGUUGCUCGCACACAGCAUGCGCCGGUUCGUCCGGACAUCAGCAAGGGGGGUAGGCAGCGCAGACUCCGGCGGUGACGUUCGGAGCCAGAUAAAUGGCAGAGGCUUGCCGGGCAACCGGGAAGUACAGAAUCCGGCUUACAGGCCUGUAGUUUUU